AAUUCUCUUCGGUCCAAUCACUUGCUGUUAUUUUUGCCGUGUCUACCAAAGCUUCAAGUUCUCAAACAAAAAAAGCCCUCGUCAAGGACAUGCAAAAAGUCCUCGUAUGGCGCAGCGAAAAGGUCCAUGCUCAAGGAAACCUUAUCUGAUGAGCAAUUCACGUUCACUGCACCUUUCUCUGACGACCCCCGCGUGGGGAUUCUCGGCGAGGCAUGGCAGGUCUAGUUUGUGCGUUCAGUUUGGACAAGAAGGGUGUCAAGUCCACGGUUUUUGAUACGGGGAUACAUGGUUUGGGAGGAAGAAUGGGAACAAGAAUUAUUGAUCCUCAGCCUUUGAUAUUUGAUCAUGCUGCUCAGUUCUUUACUGUAACUGAUUCUUGGUUUGGUGAAUUGGAGAGAGGUCUGGUGCGGCAGUAGGAAGGCAUGAUCGGAGAGCUUGAAGUGGGUGGGUGAUUUGUUCCAUUUCCUUCUUCCCCUCCAAGAUAUAUUGCUGCUAAUGGGAUGCACCGUCUUGCGACUCAUUAUUGGUUCAGGAAAAUGUGCGAACUGCUUGCUUGGUUCAUCAGGCAUACCUCUCAGUGCUUGACAAGUGAAGGUAA